UUCCUGAUGGGUUUGGGUGGAGCAGCUCUGCUGCUCCGGUCCCUCUAAGGAGGGCCUCAGCCUAGGGCGCAGCAGAGAAGGUGGGAUGGAGACUGCCAUCACCCGGAUGCCACCCUGACUCACUGUUGGUCCCCCUACAGGUCAGCAGCGGACUAAAGCCACAACCCCAGCCAGGGAACCCUUCCAAAACACAGAGGAGCCAUAUGAGAAUAUCAGGAAUGAAGAUGUUUUCCAUUUGCUUCCACCCCUGCUUGAAUCUACCUCUCCCAAGUUUGUGAAGGAUGCUCUGACUGUGUCAUAAUGCCCUACCAGGGGUAACCGUAUUGCUUGGCCCAGAUGAUGGAUCCUGGGAUGUAGGAGGCAUAGGCCACAUCACUCUCAAGCCCUGUCCAGGUCUCCUCAGGAAUAUCACAGCGAUUAUACUGCACAUCUGCUGAAAGAGAGAAGGAAUGAAGGGACAGGAAGAGACUCUUUAAGAGAAAGAGCUGGAUGAGAGCUGGGGAGAGAACAAGAAGGAAAUUGGUAUAUGCAGCAGGUGGGACCAAAGGGGCACCUGGGAGAUCAGCACAGAGGAAGAAUAAAGACCCAUGGAGGAAAUGCAGCUGGAACCAGCUGAAAUGCAGCUGGAACCAGCUGAAAUGCAGCUGGAGGCAGUAGGAAUGGUGCCUCCUCAUACUCCAGGAAGAGAUUCCACACUCCUGCUUGCAUGCCCGCGUGUCUGACUGUGCUCCUGUCUAUGGAGCACCAUAAGAAUAAUUUCUCUGAGACUCUGUUUUCUCAUCUGUAAAAUAAUUGGGCUGGACAAGAUCAUCAUCAUCUCUUCCAACUAGUUCCAAACAGCCUAGAAUUCUAAGCGCACCAGAUCUCUCUCGUCUGUUUUCCCCGAUAUAUCCUAUAUCCCUCCCUAUCCACCAACCCAAUACCAAUAUUUUAAUCAGGAUUGACAGGGGCAGACCAAUGCUCAUGUAUUUAGAUUCCAGGCCCCUCCCCAACAAGAUCACUUUACAGGGCAUCUUCCUCCAGCCUUUUCUGCCCAGAUUCAUCUCCAUAUGAGAGGCAGAUCCUUCCUCUCUCCCAAGCACUACAAGGACACUGAGUGCUAACUAUAUUUACGUAGUAUUUAAUCUAAAGGAUAAGUGCAGAGAAAGAAAGGGAGGAACAAUAAAACAUGAAUGAAAACAUUUCCAGUCUUUUCUACCUGUGUUCUGAUCACAGGACCAAUUAUCUGGGAGAACUGAGGGGUCAAUGUUCCCACACAGCCGCCUCCAUUUCCCACAGUUUGGGAAGGAACACUGGACCCAGACCAGACAUUGACCUGUGAGAGGAAAAAAAUGAAAUAAGAGACUUAAAAAUAUGCUCUUCCUUCUUUAAUCCAACUAAAAUCAGGAUAACCCUCCCAACUCCCAGAAUGACAUAGCCAGAGAGACAUUAGAGAUCAACCAGCCCGAUCCCUGACUUAUAAGAGGGAAACCAAGGCUCAAAGAGGAAAAACUACAAAUAUGUAUCUUUCUGCAAGCCUUUCCAGAUCGAUCUGCCUCAUUCCAGGAUGGCCAGCACUCCUGAAGGGACUUCUGCAGAACAAUCUGGACAAUCUCCUCAAAUUCUGCAUUGGUAAGACUUGAUUUUUCCUGCAGAGACAAGGGUAGGGGAGGAAAACCACUUAUCUUUCCAUAGUUUUCCCCUCUGAACAGUCAGGGAAGCCUCCUUCAGAUGAGGCAGUAAGUUUAUAAGACGGAAGGCAUGCAGUCAGCAUACCUAAGGAGGCCAUGAACUAUAUCCCAGAUCUCCUGGGAAUAAAGGAGUCAAAGGAAAGAGAAAAGUGUAUAAUGUCUCUGUCUACUUCUAUCCCCACCUCUAACCCACCUCAUCCCAUUAUUUCCUGCUCAAUUCUUUCAUCAAAACAUUUUUGACCUCUUUGAGAAAAAAAAAAGGAAGCCCUCAAAAAGGAAUACAAACCUGAAACUCUAGGGUGAAUUUCCCCAGUGUGAAAAGACUCUGUUUGUCUAGCCUGAGCCAGGGGUAAGGUAUGAGAAAAUCUCCUACCAGAGCCCACCACUAUGACUGGUACCUUUUCUUUCUUCUCUGCUUGCUUGUUGAUUUGUGCCUUUCUUUUUUUCUCCUGUUCCCUGCUUGGAACAUUCUUCAUGGUUGCUUUUUCCUCUUUCUUCUUUAAACUGGCCUUUGGCAGGCUUAUCCUGGCCUCUGUCUCUGGGGAACUGAUCCCCGGGGUCUCCUCCUUAGGGGAGUUAGGGCUACAAGGUAACAGGCUGUAAGAUUUUUGUGCAGGUGGGGCAAAGAUUCUC
ensembl:lncRNA Novel transcript